rnacentral:tRNA from 1 species
CGGAUGUAGCCAAGUGGAUUAAGGCAGUGGA